rnacentral:rRNA from 1 species
AGAUUGAACGCUGGCGGCAUGCCUUACACAUGCAAGUCGAACGGCAGCACGGAGCUUGCUCUGGUGGCGAGUGGCGAACGGGUGAGUAAUAUAUCGGAACGUACCCUGGAGUGGGGGAUAACGUAGCGAAAGUUACGCUAAUACCGCAUACGAUCUAAGGAUGAAAGUGGGGGAUCGCAAGACCUCAUGCUCGUGGAGCGGCCGAUAUCUGAUUAGCUAGUUGGUAGGGUAAAAGCCUACCAAGGCAUCGAUCAGUAGCUGGUCUGAGAGGACGACCAGCCACACUGGAACUGAGACACGGUCCAGACUCCUACGGGAGGCAGCAGUGGGGAAUUUUGGACAAUGGGCGCAAGCCUGAUCCAGCAAUGCCGCGUGAGUGAAGAAGGCCUUCGGGUUGUAAAGCUCUUUUGUCAGGGAAGAAACGGUGGGAGCUAAUAUCUCCUGCUAAUGACGGUACCUGAAGAAUAAGCACCGGCUAACUACGUGCCAGCAGCCGCGGUAAUACGUAGGGUGCAAGCGUUAAUCGGAAUUACUGGGCGUAAAGCGUGCGCAGGCGGUUUUGUAAGUCUGAUGUGAAAUCCCCGGGCUCAACCUGGGAAUUGCAUUGGAGACUGCAAGGCUAGAAUCUGGCAGAAGGGGGUAGAAUUCC